CAUAGGUUAAUGAGGCGAACCGGGGGAACUGAAACAUCUAAGUACCCCGAGGAAAAGAAAUCAACCGAGAUUCCCCCAGUAGCGGCGAGCGAACGGGGAGCAGCCCAGAGCCUGAAUCAGUGUGUGUGUUAGUGGAAGCGUCUGGAAAGGCGCGCGAUACAGGGUGACAGCCCCGUACACAAAAAUGCACAUGCUGUGAGCUCGAUGAGUAGGGCGGGACACGUGGUAUCCUGUCUGAAUAUGGGGGGACCAUCCUCCAAGGCUAAAUACUCCUGACUGACCGAUAGUGAACCAGUACCGUGAGGGAAAGGCGAAAAGAACCCCGGCGAGGGGAGUGAAAAAGAACCUGAAACCGUGUACGUACAAGCAGUGGGAGCACGCUUCGGCGUGUGACUGCGUACCUUUUGUAUAAUGGGUCAGCGACUUAUAUUCUGUAGCAAGGUUAACCGAAUAGGGGAGCCGAAGGGAAACCGAGUCUUAACUGGGCGUUAAGUUGCAGGGUAUAGACCCGAAACCCGGUGAUCUAGCCAUGGGCAGGUUGAAGGUUGGGUAACACUAACUGGAGGACCGAACCGACUAAUGUUGAAAAAUUAGCGGAUGACUUGUGGCUGGGGGUGAAAGGCCAAUCAAACCGGGAGAUAGCUGGUUCUCCCCGAAAGCUAUUUAGGUAGCGCCUCGUGAAUUCAUCUCCGGGGGUAGAGCACUGUUUCGGCAAGGGGGUCAUCCCGACUUACCAACCCGAUGCAAACUGCGAAUACCGGAGAAUGUUAUCACGGGAGACACACGGCGGGUGCUAACGUCCGUCGUGAAGAGGGAAACAACCCAGACCGCCAGCUAAGGUCCCAAAGUCAUGGUUAAGUGGGAAACGAUGUGGGAAGGCCCAGACAGCCAGGAUGUUGGCUUAGAAGCAGCCAUCAUUUAAAGAAAGCGUAAUAGCUCACUGGUCGAGUCGGCCUGCGCGGAAGAUGUAACGGGGCUAAACCAUGCACCGAAGCUGCGGCAGCGACGCUUAUGCGUUGUUGGGUAGGGGAGCGUUCUGUAAGCCUGUGAAGGUGUGCUGUGAGGCAUGCUGGAGGUAUCAGAAGUGCGAAUGCUGACAUAAGUAACGAUAAAGCGGGUGAAAAGCCCGCUCGCCGGAAGACCAAGGGUUCCUGUCCAACGUUAAUCGGGGCAGGGUGAGUCGACCCCUAAGGCGAGGCCGAAAGGCGUAGUCGAUGGGAAACAGGUUAAUAUUCCUGUACUUGGUGUUACUGCGAAGGGGGGACGGAGAAGGCUAUGUUGGCCGGGCGACGGUUGUCCCGGUUUAAGCGUGUAGGCUGGUUUUCCAGGCAAAUCCGGAAAAUCAAGGCUGAGGCGUGAUGACGAGGCACUACGGUGCUGAAGCAACAAAUGCCCUGCUUCCAGGAAAAGCCUCUAAGCAUCAGGUAACAUCAAAUCGUACCCCAAACCGACACAGGUGGUCAGGUAGAGAAUACCAAGGCGCUUGAGAGAACUCGGGUGAAGGAACUAGGCAAAAUGGUGCCGUAACUUCGGGAGAAGGCACGCUGAUAUGUAGGUGAAGUCCCUCGCGGAUGGAGCUGAAAUCAGUCGAAGAUACCAGCUGGCUGCAACUGUUUAUUAAAAACACAGCACUGUGCAAACACGAAAGUGGACGUAUACGGUGUGACGCCUGCCCGGUGCCGGAAGGUUAAUUGAUGGGGUUAGCCGCAAGGCGAAGCUCUUGAUCGAAGCCCCGGUAAACGGCGGCCGUAACUAUAACGGUCCUAAGGUAGCGAAAUUCCUUGUCGGGUAAGUUCCGACCUGCACGAAUGGCGUAAUGAUGGCCAGGCUGUCUCCACCCGAGACUCAGUGAAAUUGAACUCGCUGUGAAGAUGCAGUGUACCCGCGGCAAGACGGAAAGACCCCGUGAACCUUUACUAUAGCUUGACACUGAACAUUGAGCCUUGAUGUGUAGGAUAGGUGGGAGGCUUUGAAGUGUGGACGCCAGUCUGCAUGGAGCCGACCUUGAAAUACCACCCUUUAAUGUUUGAUGUUCUAACGUUGACCCGUAAUCCGGGUUGCGGACAGUGUCUGGUGGGUAGUUUGACUGGGGCGGUCUCCUCCUAAAGAGUAACGGAGGAGCACGAAGGUUGGCUAAUCCUGGUCGGACAUCAGGAGGUUAGUGCAAUGGCAUAAGCCAGCUUGACUGCGAGCGUGACGGCGCGAGCAGGUGCGAAAGCAGGUCAUAGUGAUCCGGUGGUUCUGAAUGGAAGGGCCAUCGCUCAACGGAUAAAAGGUACUCCGGGGAUAACAGGCUGAUACCGCCCAAGAGUUCAUAUCGACGGCGGUGUUUGGCACCUCGAUGUCGGCUCAUCACAUCCUGGGGCUGAAGUAGGUCCCAAGGGUAUGGCUGUUCGCCAUUUAAAGUGGUACGCGAGCUGGGUUUAGAACGUCGUGAGACAGUUCGGUCCCUAUCUGCCGUGGGCGCUGGAGAACUGAGGGGGGCUGCUCCUAGUACGAGAGGACCGGAGUGGACGCAUCACUGGUGUUCGGGUUGUCAUGCCAAUGGCACUGCCCGGUAGCUAAAUGCGGAAGAGAUAAGUGCUGAAAGCAUCUAAGCACGAAACUUGCC
rnacentral:rRNA from 1 species